UGGGGGAUAUUGCACAAUGGGGGAAACCCUGAUGCAGCAACGCCGCGUGAGUGAAGAAGGUUUUCGGAUUGUAAAGCUCUGUUAGCAGGGAAGAGAAAGGACGGUACCUGCAGAGGAAGCCACGGCUAACUACGUGCCAGCAGCCGCGGUAAUACGUAGGUGGCAAGCGUUGUUCGGAAUAACUGGGCGUAAAGGAUGCGUAGGCGGUUGAAUAAGUUAUGUGUUAAAUAUAUGGGCUUAACCCGUAGAAGGCAUAUAAAACUGUUUAACUAGAGUGCAGGAGAGGUAAGUGGAAUUCCUAGUGUAGCGGUGAAAUGCGUAGAGAUUAGGAAGAACACCAGUGGCGAAGGCGACUUACUGGACUGUAACUGACGCUGAGGCAUGAGAGCAUGGGGAGCAAACA
rnacentral:rRNA from 1 species